CCUACGGGAGGCAGCAGUGAGGAAUAUUGGUCAAUGGACGAGAGUCUGAACCAGCCAAGUAGCGUGAAGGAUGACUGCCCUAUGGGUUGUAAACUUCUUUUAUAAAGGAAUAAAACGAGGCACGUGUGCCUUUUUGCAUGUACUUUAUGAAUAAGGAUCGGCUAACUCCGUGCCAGCAGCCGCGGUAAUACGGAGGAUCCGAGCGUUAUCCGGAGUUAUUGGGUUUAAAGGGAGCGUAGAUGGGUUGUUAAGUCAGUUGUGAAAGUUUGCGGCUCAACCGUAAAAUUGCAAUUGAUACUGGCAGUCUUGAGUACAGUUGAGGUAGGCGGAAUUCGUGGUGUAGCGGUGAAAUGCUUAGAUAUCACGAAGAACCCCGAUUGCGAAGGCAGCUCACUAAACUGUGACUGACAUUGAUGCUCGAAAGUGUGGGUAUCAAACAGGAUUAGAUACCCGAGUAGUC
rnacentral:rRNA from 1 species